AAUAGAUACCCCGGUAGUCCAUGCCGUAAACGUUGGGAACUAGAUGUAGGGCCUGUUCCACGGGUUCUGUGUCGUAGCUAACGCAUUAAGUUCCCCGCCUGGGGAGUACGGCCGCAAGGCUAAAACUCAAAAGAAUUGACGGGGGCCCGCACAAGCGGCGGAGCAUGCGGAUUAAUUCGAUGCAACGCGAAGAACCUUACCAAGGCUUGACAUAUAGCAGAACACUCUAGAAAUAGAGGACUCUUUGGACACUGUUAUACAGGUGGUGCAUGGUUGUCGCCAGCUCGUGUCGUGAGAUGUUCGGUUAAGUCCGGCAACGAGCGCAACCCUCGUCCUAUGUUGCCAGCGGUUCGGCCGGGAACUCAUGGGAUACUGCCGUGGUCAACACGGAGGAAGGUGGGGAUGACGUCAAAUCAUCAUGCCCCUUAUGUCUUGGGCUUCACGCAUGCUACAAUGGCCGGUACAAAGGGCGGCGAUACCGUAAGGUGGAGCGAAUCCCAAAAACGCCGGUCUCAGUUCGGAGUUGGGGUCUGCAACUCGACCCC
rnacentral:rRNA from 1 species